rnacentral:rRNA from 1 species
UCAGAUUGAACGCUGGCGGCAUGCCUUACACAUGCAAGUCGAACGGCAGCGACGGGGGCAACCCUGGUGGCGAGUGGCGAACGGGUGAGUAAUGCAUCGGAACGUGUCCCGUAGUGGGGGAUAACGCCGCGAAAGCGGCGCUAAUACCGCAUACGCUCUGAGGAGGAAAGCAGGGGACCCGCAAGGGCCUUGUGCUAGGGGAGCGGCCGAUGUCCGAUUAGCUAGUUGGUGGGGUAACGGCCUACCAAGGCUGCGAUCGGUAGCUGGUCUGAGAGGAUGAUCAGCCACACUGGGACUGAGACACGGCCCAGACUCCUACGGGAGGCAGCAGUGGGGAAUUUUGGACAAUGGGGGCAACCCUGAUCCAGCCAUGCCGCGUGCGGGAAGAAGGCCUUCGGGUUGUAAACCGCUUUUAGCCGGGAAGAAAAGGCCGCUCCUAACAGGGGUGGUUUUUGACGGUACCGGCGGAAUAAGCACCGGCUAACUACGUG